UACGUAGGGGGCAAGCGUUGUCCGGAUUCAUUGGGCGUAAAGAGCUCGUAGGCGGCUUGGCAAGUCGGGUGUGAAACCUCCAGGCUCAACCUGGAGACGCCACCCGAUACUGCCAUGGCUAGAGUCCGGUAGGGGACCACGGAAUUCCUGGUGUAGCGGUGAAAUGCGCAGAUAUCAGGAGGAACACCGAUGGCGAAGGCAGGUCUCUGGGCCACUACUGACGCUGAGAAGCGAAAGCAUGGGGAGCGAACAGG
rnacentral:rRNA from 1 species